AUUUAUAUUAACGAAGAAACAAAUACGGAUACUUUAUAUAUAUACGUACAAUAAUUCUCGAAAUAACCGACGAGCGUAUAAAAAGCGGCCACUUCUCGGGAUCCACGUGAUAAAUCAUUCUUUAUAGCGAGCACUUUUGCAACGAUAUUUCUUAUAGAAACAUCCGCGCUUCUACGCCGUAAACUUUUAACACAGCUCGCAAGAAAUGGAAAUAUUUGUUUCGAGAAGCGAUAUGUGAACGAGAAUACGAAAUUAUACAGAAUAAAUUUCUAUAUAAUUCUCUAUGGAAAAGUCUACGACAAGUUUGAAAAGUGGAGGAACGAUUCUUUUAUCCAAUUUUAAUCAUGGGGAGGAAAAUCAAAUUUUCUCAAGGGUCACAGGUGUGAUCGCAAAAAACGAGACUCACGGCAAACGGGUUAAACGAUUCAAGGGAAGCUGGUUCAAGAAUAGCUGAAUAGAAAUAGAGGAUGCACGGUGAAAUGCUGAAAGGCGAGGAAUAACUUCGCCACGAAACACCAACAAAGGACAGCUGUAUGCCGUAGCACCGCUAUAUUAAUGUCACUGCGAAAAA